UUGACCGAUUGAAGUCCCUUUUUGUUGUGUGUAGCAUUUGCGACACAUGAUGAACCUUGAAGUGGUCUCUAUGAUCCAUCCUGUUGAUGCACAUGCAUUGAUUGUGUGGUCCAUUGAGCUUUGCUUGGUCUUUUGGAUACUGAACAUGAUGUGGCUUUUGGUUCUUUCAUGAUCCUUGUUUGGCCCUUGUUUGCUAUUCUCUAAAUGACGGUUCAUGCACGCCUAGGCUCGUACCUGCGUGAUGUUCUAUGUCGAAGAGGAAUGC
rnacentral:misc_RNA from 1 species